UACGGGAGGCAGCAGUGAGGAAUAUUGGUCAAUGGACGCAGUCUGAACCACCAUGCCGCGUGCAGAUGAAUGCCCUAUGGAUGUAAACUGCUUCUACAGAAGAAACUUCCUGAUGUUCAGGAACUGACGGUAUUGUAGGAAAAUAANGCCCAUCGGCUAACUCCGUGCCCCAGCAGCCGCGGUAAUACGGAGGAUGCAAGCGUUAUCCGGAUUCAUUGGGUUUAAAGGGUGCGUAGGCGGGGUAGUAAGUCAGUGGUGAAAGCCUGCGGCUUAACCGUAGAAUUGGCCAUUGAUACUGGCUAAUUCUUGAAGUGCAGUUGAGGGUAGGCGGAAUGUGUAAUGUAGGCCCGGUGAACAUGCUUUAGGUAUUACACCAGAACCACCGGAUUUUGCGUAGGCCAGCUUACUANAACUGUAACUGACGCUGAGGCACGAAAGCGUGGGGAGCGAACAGGAUUAGAUACCCUGGUAGUCCACGCUGUAAACUAUGAUCACUCGCUGUUGGCGAUACAUUGUCAGCGGCUGAGCGAAAGCAUUAAGUGAUCCACCUGGGGAGUACGGCCGCAAGGUUGAAACUCAAAAGGAAUUGGACGGGGGCCCGCACAAGCGGUGGAACAUGUGGUUUAAUUCGAUGAUACGCGAGGAACCUUACCUGGGCUUAAAUGCAGAACGACGUACCGGGAAACUGG
rnacentral:rRNA from 1 species